GCACUCCCCACAGGCCCUGAAUCCGCGUCGUCUGGCAGGCACAUCCAAUCCUCGUCUCCACCACGAGCGGCCGCGCCGGUGCCACCGCCACCACUCCGGCCGCGGAUAACCCCUAAACCCCGGCGGUUCCCGCCCGCCUCGCCAUGGCCGAAACGCUCGCCCUCCCGCUCCCCCUCCGCGCACCGGCGCCGCCGCCGCGCCCUACUAUCCCCAACCCCAUCAUCACCCACCGCCAGCCCCACACACCCUCCUCCUCCCCUCCUCGCCUCUUCUCCCCGACCUCCCUCCUCUCCACCUCCCGCCCCAACCCAGCCUCCUCCUCCCGCAAGCCGCGUCUCGGCCGCCCACUCGACCCCUCCCGCGGUGGGACCGGCGGCGAUGACCACCCGUGGCACCUGCCGCCGUCCCUCACCCUACCCGCCCGCCGCGCGCUCGUCGCACUCCUAGCCGACCCGGCGGAACACGCCUCCCCGCGCGACAUCCUCGCCGCGCUCUCAGAGACCGAUCUCUCCGCCGUCCUGAACGCGCUCGCCUCCCGCGGGGGGCACCCCAGCGUCGCGCUCGCCGCGGUCCGUGCCGCGCGGGACCUCCACGGUGACCGCGCCCUCCACCACCCGCGCGUGCUCCCCGCCGCCGUGCGCGUGCUCGCGCGCGCCGGCCGCCUCGCCGAGGCCUCCGCUCUCCUCGACGCCGCGCUGGCGCCCGACGCCAGCGCAUACACGGCGCUCGUGUCCGCGUUCUCCCGUGCCGGCCGGUUCCGGGACGCGGUCAACGUGUUCCGGCGCAUGGUGGAUAGAGGCGUGCGACCGGCUCUCGUCACCUACAACGUCGUGCUUCAUGUCUACUCCAAGAUGACUGUCCCGUGGAAGGAGGUUGUGGCGCUCGUCGACUCCAUGAAGGAGGACGGUGUUGCGAUGGACAGGUAUACUUACAACACGCUCAUCAGCUGUUGCCGUCGUAGGGGGCUUUACAGGGAGGCUGCACAGUUGUUUGAUGAGAUGAGGGCUGCUGGGUUCAAACCUGACAAGGUCACGUUCAAUUCCCUGCUCGAUGUGUACGGUAAGGCGCGGAGGCAUGAGGAUGCAGUUGAGGUGCUCAAGGAGAUGGAGAAUGCAGGCUGUCCACCCAGUGUGGUGACAUACAAUUCACUCAUCUCAGCAUAUGUGAAGGAUGGGUUGUUGAAAGAGGCUAUGGAGCUGAAAACGGAGAUGGAGUUGAAGGGGAUGAAACCUGAUGUGGUUACAUACACAACAUUGAUCUCUGGCCUUGACAGGAUUGGCAAAAUUGAUGUAGCCGUUGGUACAUACAAUGAAAUGGUGAGGAAUGGGUGUAGCCCAAACUUGUGCACGUACAAUGCAUUGAUCAAGAUGCAUGGGGUGAGGGGGAAGUUCAUAGAGAUGAUGGCCAUCUUUGACGAGCUCAAGUCUGCUGGGUAUGUGCCGGAUGUUGUCACGUGGAACACACUCUUGGCUGUGUUCGGGCAGAAUGGUCUAGACUCUGAGGUUUCUGGGGUGUUCAAGGAGAUGAAGAAAGCUGGAUAUAUCCCUGAGACAGACACAUAUGUUUCACUGAUUAGCUCGUAUAGCCGAUGCGGUUUGUUUGACCAAGCAAUGGAAAUAUACAAGAGGAUGAUGGAAGCUGGUAUUUAUCCAGACAUUUCGACCUAUAAUGCUGUUCUAUCUGCAUUGGCUCGGGGUGGUCGCUGGGAACAGGCAGAGAUGUUGUUUGCUGAAAUGGAGGAUAGGGAUUGUAAGCCAAAUGAGCUAAGCUAUUCUUCACUGCUUCAUGCAUAUGCUAAUGCAAAGAAGUUGGACAAAAUGAAAUCUCUGUCAGAAGAUAUAUAUGCAGAGAGGAUUGAACCACACAACUGGCUAGUAAAAACAUUGGUCUUGGUCAACAACAAAGUUAAUAAUUUAUCUGAGACAGAAAAGGCAUUCGAGGAACUAAGGAGGAGGCGUUGCUCCCUGGAUAUUAAUGUUCUUAAUGCUAUGGUAUCCAUAUAUGGGAAAAAUAGGAUGGUCAAGAAGGUGGAGGAGGUCCUUUCUCUCAUGAAGGAGAAUUCUAUCAACCACAGUGCUGCAACCUAUAAUAGCCUGAUGCAUAUGUAUUCCUGUUUAGGUGAUUGUGAAAAGUGUGAAACAAUCCUCACUGAGAUCAAGUCAAGUGGCAUGCACCCUGAUCGAUACUCGUAUAACACUGUGAUAUAUGCAUAUGGAAGAAAAGGACAGAUGAAAGAAGCCUCUAGGUUGUUCUCUGAGAUGAAAUGUUCAGGUGAAUGUUGAUGCAGACUAGUUUGAAGAAGUUAUUCCAAAGGCGUGUACGAUGUGUCUACUGCACAGCUUUAUUUGUCGGUACAAGAAGUCAUGAACCUGUGCUAAGUCAUGGUCAGACUCCUCAACAUUUUUGUUUGUCUGAUUUGCUAAAUUAUUUUUUCCAUCGAAGUCCACAAUUUCUUUUUUGUUGUUUUGAUCCUUACAUUUGAAUUCUGGAAAAGGUUUUCUUCGAUAUUUAUCCUGUGCUGAGGAAGCUCUUGUGAUGACAGUUUAUAUCCUUACUGCCAGCUGAUGGCCUGAUGCAAGUCUGCCUACAGUGAAACCUGAGUGAGACCUCGGCAUUAGAUGCCAUAUUGCAAAAUAACAUAGUAUACUUCUCUUGGAUGUUACAUGUACAUUCACUUACCAUACUGUUCUAAUAUAGGGAGGGAUAAUCCACUUUAGCCCAAAAUUAUCCCACAUGUUUGGAUGCAUGAGGGAUAAUUUGGGGCUAAAAGGUGAGGGCUAAAGAUUAUCCCAUGUAUCCAAACAGGCCCCUAGCACGCUUCUUUCCAUAUGGUUCUUUGAUUCUUUCCCUGUUAACUGACCACAUAUUAUAUAUGUUUGAUUUCAGGCUGCAGGCGGGGCGGGCUGUAAAACGAGCCCACUUAACCGCCCCGCAAAAACAGCUGUUGCGGUCGACGCGGCCCAGCUGCAAAAUUUUUGUGGCCUAAUAGUGGACAGCCAUCCGAAGCCUGUGGACAAAAGUGCCAAGCCCGCAAGACCCGCAAACAACCCGCAGCUGCUCCUCCUCUCGUCCUCCCUCACGUAACCUAGUGGCGGCCACCGCCACCACAACCAUCGAUCUCCAGUUCUCCACCCACCCGCACCAACUUGCUGUGCUACUGCGCCCUGAGUGGACGUGCGCCUCGGCCUCCCUGCCGCCGCCCUGCGCGAGGCGGGCGAGGCCACUGGCGUGGAGGAGGGAGAAGGCCACCAUUAGGAAGCCCAACGACUUACAGCAGCACUGGGAAACUCGUUGGGGCAUCCGAAGCCCAUCGACCUGCAGUAUGAGGUUCGCCGACUUGCUGGGGCACCCGAUGGAGGCAGCAGACGGAGCCGACCUGUUCGGCUUCCAUUCCUCCAUGGUGGUGCCAGAGGAUGGGGAUGAUGGGGAGGAGGAGGGCUCUGACGAGGAGGACCGGCGGCCGACCGGGAGCACCGAAGUCAGUAUUUACAGAUGCAAAUUGACACAAGCUGACCAUUGCCCUCGGUGGUGAAGUAUCGAAAGCUGCGAUGGAGCAGACUCUCUCUCUCUCUCUCUCUCGCUCUCGCUCUCGCUCUCUCUCUCUCGCUCUCUCUCUCGCUCGCUCUCUCUCUCUCUCUCGCUCUCUCUCGCUGCGAUCACAUUCGCUGCGAUCACAUUCUCUGCUCUUGUUUGAUGUACAUGGGAUCAGUUUGCUCUUGUUUGGUGCCACUGGGAUUAGCCUGCUCUGCUUUGAUAAUUUUCUUAUUGCCUAUCUCAUUUGACCUGUUUUGUAAAAUAAGGAGAGAUAACAGUUCCGUUAAGCAUAUGCUCAUGAUAUGUGACAACUGACACUAGUAUUAGCUUGCUCAGUUUUGGUGAUA